UAGUAUCAAUGAGGGCAAAACAAUGUGUCCGUGCUUUGUAGCCAAACGUUUAAGCAGAAUGUGCUUUUGGUGGCUGAUGAAAAGUGGUGGAUAAUGAACUAGUUUUAUUCAAUGGCAACCCACAAGCCAACGAAAGUUCAACAUUAUAUCUAUUUAAUUUACAUAUUUUUUAGAAUUCUUUCAUUGAUAAUCAAGAAAAAUAAAAAAAGUAGGCUCACCUCUAGAUACACAAUCUAAUAUGCUUCGUAAAUUUCGCAAGCUCAAUGUUUAUUUGGGAUUAGAGAUAUCUUCAUUAUGCUUUAAAACAGUGCUUUUACAUACUAUAAGAAAUUCAGUCUUGCCAUUGUAUUACAUAUAAACUGGUUUCCAAUAGUUUCGAGAAGGGUCGAUUUUGGAAAGGGUUGAAAUCGGUUUAGUUUAUGAUAUUUUCAAUAAUGUUAAAAUACUGUUUGUCGUUUUAACUUGGGACUCGUCUUGGCUGAUUUGAAUAAACCACUGAAGUUUUUUGUCUUUCUUUUUUAUUCCUCUGAAUCGGAAAUACUUUUCCCGAUAAGCGUUUCGAAUGAAUAGAAUUGAAAUUGUUUUGUCCCUUUACUUUCUACUUAUAUAAAAGAAGACGCACUUCUUUUGGAGACAUAUUCUCAAACAACACAAAAUAUGCUGGAUUGUAAAUACUCAGUUUAAACACAUAUGAGAACUUAAAGUAAGAUAUC